CAUGCACCAGUGGGGUCCCUCGGCCUGGCCUGCACCCUCUUGCAAUCCAGGACCCCUCGGGCUUUGGCCAAUCCUGCAGGCCAGGCUGAGGGACCCCACUGGUGCACG
rfam:Myotis davidii contig165452, whole genome shotgun sequence.